rnacentral:rRNA from 1 species
UCCCCAUUCGGCCCGUCUUGUAACACGGACCAAGGAGUCUAA